rnacentral:rRNA from 1 species
UACUUAGGGUGCGAGCGUUAAUCGGAAUUACUGGGCGUAAAGCGAGUGUAGGCGGCUGUAUAAGUCGGAUGUGAAAGCCCCGGGCUCAACCUGGGAAUUGCAUUCGAAACUGUAUAGCUAGAGUUUGGUAGAGGUAAGUGGAAUUCAAGGUGUAGCGGUGAAAUGCGUAGAUAUCUUGAGGAACAUCAGUGGCGAAGGCGGCUUACUGGACCAAAACUGACGCUGAGGCUCGAAAGCGUGGGGAGCAAACAGG